UUGAGGAAGACAUGGAGCAAAUAUUUAAGCGGCUGCCAAAGACAAGGCAAACUGCUCUAUUUACAGCUACCCAAACUAAGCAGGUUGAGGAUUUUGCGAACUUGUCAUUUAAGGAAAAGCCUGUAUAUGUAGGUGUU